rnacentral:rRNA from 1 species
CCUACGGGCGGCAGCAGUGGGGAAUUUUGCGCAAUGGGGGCAACCCUGACGCAGCAACGCCGCGUGAGUGAUGAAGGCCUUCGGGUCGUAAAGCUCUGUCAGAGGGGAAGAAAUGCAGGUGGUGAACAACCAUUCUGUUUGACGGUACCCUCAAAGGAAGCACCGGCUAACUCCGUGCCAGCAGCCGCGGUAAUACGGAGGGUGCGAGCGUUGUUCGGAAUUAUUGGGCGUAAAGCGCGUGUAGGCGGUUUGUUAAGUCGGAGGUGAAAGCCCCGGGCUAAACCGGGGAAGGGCAGUGGAUACUGGCAGACUGGAGUACGGGAGAGGAGAGGGGAAUCCCCAGUGUAGGGGUAAAAUCCGUAGAUAUUGGGAGGAACACCGGGGGCGAAGGCGGCUCUCGGGACCGAUACUGACGCGGAGGCGCGAAAGCGGGGGGAGCAAACAGGAUUAGAUCCCCUGGUAGU